UAAUACGAGUUUAUUUUUAUCUCGGCGCAAUCACUUAAAAGCAAUCAAUAUAGUUUGAAUAACUCUCACAAACUUAUAUUUAUAUUUAAUAGAUUAUAUUAUAAAUAAUAAUAAUUAUUAACCUUAAAACAACUUUUCAAUUCUCGCAGAAAUUAUAAAUUUACUUUCCACUAAUCAGUGUAAUUUGCUAAUCAUAUAUAGCAUCAGAAAUAAUGUUCGCAUAAUUGCGCAGUGACUUUCAAGAGUGUACAAAUAAUUUCUUAGUUUUUAUAUCAAAAAAUGCUCAAAUAUAUAUAUUUUAAGCGAUAUUUCAUUCUAAUAAAUACUAGAGAAAGUCAUCCAACAACUUUUCAAUUUCAUUGCAAAACUGUUCCAUAAUAUUAGUAUCAUUUUUUUAAAUGAUAACUUUUCAGUAAUUACAAAUCAAAAAUGUUUAUUACUAAUUUUUCGUAUCUCCGCGCGCACAAUGUAUAUGUGUGUGUACGUGCGUGUGCGCGCACGAUAAGUAUCCGCGCGUGAAAAAAUUAUUAAUUCACUAUAUCGAUGUACAAAAAUAAUGCAUCGAAAUUUAAUAUUAUUGAUCCGCUGGAACGUUUUGCAUUUAUGUAUUAUUAUGUAUUUCGAAUACGAUCAGCUGUGACAACAUGGCGGGCAUGCCAUCUAUCGCUCGAGCGAUUUAAAUUAAGAUAACGAAGAUCCACACAGAAACGGAGCCACGCAGUUGUAUGUGUUCGCUAGCAGCGUAAACAAGAUGUAAAUUGGCUGCAUUUAUAAUAGAAAUGUAAUAGAGAAAAUCUCUUCUCAACCAUACACUUCUUCACGUUGCUUAUUGCAGUUUUACAUUGUGAAUCAUCAAUAAAGCUACGCCACUGAUAUGUAGCGGAAGAUACUGCAACGUGUCUUUUCAACCACCAUUGCAUCAUAUCCGAUGACGAAAGUAUCAAAAUCAUAUACAGUCAAUUUUGCUCUCAUCAACUGCAACUUAAGGACGACCAUUGAUCAAUCCUGAAGUUCUGCAAGAAAAACUAAAGAGAAAUUAAUUUGUGCUUUAUUACUCAUGCUGUGCAUUUGACGAAAAUGCGUUUGGAUUGAAACAUAAAAGCGUUUCAAGCGGAUAUGCGUUUAAAAAAUCAUGCUUUUGGGUCGUAAAUGUAAGAACAUCAGGAAACCGACUAGGGAAAAUUAAUACAAUUUAAAUUUAGUCGACAAUAUUUCAACAGUUGGAGAUUAAAGAAAAGUUUAAGCUUUUUAGCAAGGAUGUGGUGUGCUAAUUUGUCAUACUAAUACCAUAUAGUCACGAAUAUCGCGAGCGCCCGGUAUAUAGUCUUGAUAACGAGACAAGAUAGCUGUCUUAAAUUUUCGAGAUACUGUGACAGCUUGAAUGACAAAACAAGGACAUUUUAUUACUAUUCUCUUAUAAGUUGUGUAUCGCGCGUAUAUGUGUAUUCGUGCAUACAUUGGCAUAUUUAUAAAAUCUCUUCUGUGAAGUCUCCUAAUCAGUUCUUUCGAGAUCACGCGAUAGACUGGCUGCUUUAAAGAUGAGUUUAUUAGAAUCUGCGCGAUUAUAAGAAUCUUUUAAUAAGUAUCUGGAAAAUUCAAUUUACGUUUCAGACAAAUUGUGAAGUUUGUUAAUUAUAUAUUUGUGCAAAUAGUACAUUAAAAAGAAUAACGCGGAGCAAGUGUGCGUAAUAAAAUAAUAAAAGAAAGAAAUAGUAGGUAGCCAUCAAAAUGAUAAAUAAUCAGCAUUGUGUGAUUCUCAAUACUGGCGAGACCAAUAGUUAUCAUCAACCGGUCUCGGCUAAGCCCUCUGUUGUUUCUGUAUCAAGUAUUGAUUCUGACGUCAGCGAUAGAAGGGAUGUACGUGAGGAAUUGUAUGCCGGAAUCUUUAGGAGGCACAGAAAAACUAUACUGAAAUAUUUCGACAGAUUGCACGCUUUGAACCGAGUAUACGCCUUAAUUGAUCUAAGAUUUGAGACACAAAAAUAUUGGUAAUAUCGUUUUUUUUUCUGUAUUUUACCACGCAUAUUAUGUACUUUUAUUUUGUAAUGUACGUUUCAUUAUAUAUUGUCUCAUGUUAAAAUGCAAUGUUAAAAUUUUUUAUGAUAUUUAAAAAAUGAUACUAAACUCGUCAUGCUUUCACAAUAUAUCAAAUCUUUUUAUAUAAUUAAAAAAAAAUUAUCAAAAACGAUGUAUCAUAUUUUAAUGUUGCCGAUAUUAUCUAAGUUGGCCCAUGAAAUCGUUCAAUACUUUAAUGUAUACUGCAAUUAUUGUCUGUGUUAUUAUUAACGAGCUUAAUAUUUAUGAAGCGCGCGCGCGCACAUACACACACACACAAAUUGAGAGCAUAUAUAACAAUAUAAGAUUUGUAUAAUAGUUAUAGAUUAAUGCGAAUAUAUCAAAUCAAUGCCUUAUUACUUGAUACUUUGACAUCUUUUCUAGUUUUAUCGGUUAAUCGAGUAAUUAUUGAAAUUUAUUACUAACUCAAUCGCUCUUUGUCGUAUAUACCUUUUUGUAUGAUCCGCAUCUUUAUACUAUACUGUCAUAUAUACAAAUACUGCCAUUAGAAAAUAAAACUACGGUACGGUAGACGUGAAUUAGUGAGCAACUCGGAAAACAAUCAUGCAUUUAACAAUUUCCUAAAACAUACUUAAACGACAAGUUUUAAAUAAAUAUCUACCAAAUAAGAUAAAUAUGUGUCUCUGUACUUAGCCGAAUCACUCGUUGUCGUAAGACUGAAAAAUGUGCUCUUUUGGAAAAUUAAAUGUGCCAUGUGCUAUUUUAGAGGAAGAGAAAGAGGGAGAUAAAGACAAAGAAAAGGAAGAAAGCACUUUCUUUGUAUUUGUCAAUUUCUGGAUUGCUGUAGAUUUAACAUUGGGCGUAUACAAUGAUACAAAGCAUAUUUUCUAACCGUGAUACAUUACAAUUAUAUUUUGUAUCUAGACAACGUGUACGAUCCGACCAAAAAGAUUUAUCUUGCCUUCAAAAUAAUCGGGCGGGCGAUAUAAAAUUGUUAUUGAUUGAUUUACAGAUCGGUCAAAAGAUCUGUAGAAUAUACAAGUCAUUUGCGUGAUAUUGCUAUUAAAUAUUAUUGCUUAUGUAUUGCGAUAGUGUUUAGAGAUUUAUUUGAAACUAUAAGAUAUACUUGAAAACUGUAUUUUUUAUGUCGUAAUAGUUUUUAUGAAUUUAAAAAAAAACAUAUUGGCGCGCCUUUUAAGCAGCAGUAGGGCGAAAAUUUAUAUGCUGGCAGCUUUAUCAGAUUGUUUGCGCAUGUAUUUAAACAUCGCGUAACGUAGACAUACGUAACGUUAAUUACGAAAUAGGAUUUUUAUUGAAGACCGAUGUAAAAGAAGAAGCGACAGAUAUUUUGUUUGUUCAAUUGUUAAAAUUUUACAUGAUUUUGUUAACAGACAAUUAUGUUCUAAAUGCAUUAUUGUGUGUGCUGAGUGAGAAAAGUUUUUAUUAUCACUUUAUAUAAUGUAUUAUUAGAACGUAUCACACAAGAAAUCAGAUGUGUAUGUGAAACACAUAAUAAAGUAUUUAUAUUAUGUUUAAUAAAAAAA